CGUGAGCCCCCACUCUCUCCUUCCCCUUCCACCCCACUCGUGUCGUGUGGCUGAGCACCGUACGACGCCUCCCCCGCCCGCCUCUCCCCGACCUCGUCGCCGGCGAUGGCCUCCGCCUCCACCGCCGUGGCCAGCGCCACCGCCGGGACCACCCGUUCCUUCGAGAAGCUAUCUGCCCCAUGGAUGAUAGGCCGGGGACACGUGGCGCUCCCCCCGUCGCCGGGGCGUUAUCCCGCGGUCACGGUGGCCGCGGCGUCGCGUCGCACCGGCGAAGGUGGGAGGAGGCGGAGGAGAGCCAGGGGUGCUGAUCAGGAGGAUGGCCUCUCCCUCAGCUCCGAAAUUGAGGCACCAAGUUCCACUCCCCCCGUUCGCACUACCGACAAGGAGAGCACGAAACCUGCAUCAGAAACCGGAAUCACAAAGAAAGGAUCAGCCAUUAGAAGAGUUACUUUGGUGGUCCUUGCUGCGGUUUUCUUCGGCGUUAGCAUCGCCCUGAGGGAUGGGGUUGGGAAGGCAUCUGAAUAUUUUGCUGGAUAUUUAUUGGAACAGAGUUUGUCAGUAGACAAUCUCUUUGUUUUUGUUCUGGUCUUCAAGUAUUUUAAAGUGCCACAGGAAUACCAGAACCGGGUGCUCUCUUAUGGUAUUGCUGGAGCAGUGAUCUUCCGCACGGUGAUGAUCACCCUAGGAGCAGCUACGAUUCAGAGGUUUGAAGCAGUGAACCUAUUAUUGGCUUUGAUCCUGCUAUUCACUUCAUAUAAGUUAUUUGCUGAAGAAGAUGAAGAAUCUGAUCUAUCUGACAAUUUCAUAGUGAAAACAUGCCAAAGAUUCAUUCCUGUCACUGAUUACUACGAUGGUGAUCGGUUUUUCACAACUCAAGAAGGUUUAUGGAAAGCCACACCUUUGCUGUUGACUGUGGCAGUGAUCGAACUAAGUGAUAUUGCUUUCGCUAUUGACUCAAUACCAGCAGUUUUUGGUGUCACAAGGGAUCCACUUAUAGUGUUAUCAUCAAAUAUUUUUGCUAUUUCUGGUUUGAGGUCACUCUACGUACUCAUUUCUGAAAGCAUGUCUGAAUUGGACUAUUUGCAGCCUGCAAUUGGUAUAGUUUUGGGCUUCAUAGGGACAAAGAUGGUCUUUGACUUUUUUGGUUAUCAUAUACCAACUGAAGCUUCGCUUGCUAUUGUUACCACGUGUCUAAGUGGUGGAGUAAUAUUGAGUCUUAGGAAAGCAUCAACUGAAGAAAAGGACAAGUAGCCGGCUUGCUGGAGAGGAGGUAAAAGGGAUAAAUUAACUUGGUGUUUCUUUCACAGGUCGAAUGAAAAUACUGCUUCCUGAGAGCUGCUCCUUUUAUCUGGAUGCAGGGGUUCAUCAAUGCAUCAUUUACUUUGAUCACCAGAUGUAGAGCAGUAGAGGAGGUCCUUGAGGAGUUUUCACAAGACGACCACUGGGCUUGUACGUAUAGUAAUGCUCGUGUGGUUUUGAAGGCAAAUCACAACCAGUGGUUUUGAUGUGUGACCCAGUAUAGAAUUAUGAGGUUGAUGACUGCCAAGGCAUGAAGACUGGUGUCUGACAUCCAAAUUUAAGGCCAUGUACGCCUUGGUUCGUCUUGAAGCAGAAGGGUUAGUGGAAGAUCCAAAACAGCAGCAGCCUACUAGGAUGACUGACUGGCAUGGUAAUCAUAAUUCUUCCCCUUUUUUUUGAGCUUGUAAAACAAGCUCACAAGCAUGACAUGCACAAGCAAUGUCAAAUUUUAUUGCAACAAAACAUAUGGUGUAUAGCUGACCAUUAUAUUUUGGUUCGUUUAGCUACUGAUCCUUAUUAUGUGGUUAUAUUAAACUGUUGUGAUUCGUGGGUCUGAGAGCAUUAUCUGAAA